GACGAACGCUGGCGGCGUGCUUAACACAUGCAAGUCGAACGGAAAGGCCCUGCUUUUGUGGGGUGCUCGAGUGGCGAACGGGUGAGUAACACGAGAGUAACCUGCCCUUGACUUUGGGAUAACUUCAGGAAAGUGGGGCUAAUAUCGGAUAGGAGCUCCUGCUGCAUGGAGGGGGUUGGAAAGUUUCGGCGGGUGUGGUUGGACUCGCGGCUUAUCAGCUUGUUGGUCGGGUAGUGGCUGACCAAGGCUUGGACGGGUAGCCGACCUGAGAGGGUGACCGGGCACAAGAGUACUGAGGUACGGCGCAGUCUCCAACAUUAGGCAGCGGUCGGAAGUCUUACACAGUGAUCGCGAGCCUGAGACGACGGCGUCGCGUGCGUAAAGACCGCUUUCUGGUUAAGAACCGCUGUCGCCUGAGACGAAGCGUGAGUGACGGUAAUGAAUAAAGAAGCACCGGCUAACUACGUG
rnacentral:rRNA from 1 species